rnacentral:lncRNA from 1 species
GGACUAUCAUCCUGGACUAGAUACAAGAUAGUUUGAUAUACAUGAAAAUAUAGACUGAAUACCAUGGGACUACCAUCCCGGACUAGAUAUAAGAUAGUUUGAUAAAAUCAUGGGAUUACUAUCCCGAACUAGAUAUAGAUUCUAACCGUAGGAAUAACAUCCUGCAAUUGAUAUGAAUCCUAUAGACUAAAAACCAUGGGAUUUCCAUCCCGUACUAGAUAUAAGAUCUAAAGAUAGAAGAUUGAUAUAAAAUCAAAUCCAAAACCAAGUCGUGAAUAAACUUAUAUUAAUACGUAUUGUGAAUCGGGUAACCAUGCUGAUACGACAACGAGACCUCCUUGACAUUUGUCAGACGUCGGACGAUAUCCAGAAUUUGUCAUCCUAGGCGUGCCCGCCUAACUGUAGCUAGCAGUUAAGGUGUGGGAUUGUCAGUCCCGAAUAGAUCUAUUCACAAAUUCCUCACUCUCCCUCCAGGAGACUCUGGUUACACUUCCGGAGAGGAUUUACUUAUCAUCCAUAAAGGGUAGUGACGAACUCACAAGCUAGUACUAAACCAUUCACAGGGUUCUCAUACGAUAUCAAACAUAUAAAAGAUUAUGAAACAUAAUACAUUGAAUACAGAUACAUACAAUGAAACUAUCUGGCAAUACAUUCAAAUGAUGCAGAGAUAAACUGAAUCAGACAUAGUUUAUCUAAUAACUUUAUACACAUAUCAGUACAUGAUAAAACGAAAACUAAAGAAUCCCAAAUUAUUCCCAUAAUAAUUUGAUUAGUUUGAUUAUUUCCUUAACUAAAAUUCAUUUAGUUGUAGUUGAUAAAUCUUCCCUUAUGCUCAGCAUAAUACAUAAUGGGUAAAAGUAUUUAUAAGUUUGCCAGAUAUUAUUUNCCCCCCUGAAAACAUUGAAAAACUAUUUAAAAAGGGUAAUGGUAUGAACUCACCGGACGAGAAAUGUGACGAUUUCGGAUGUUAAACAUUGGUUCGGGAUUUGCAAACGCACGAGGUUCCUAUGUAUAAUGAAAAGAUACACAUUUGUAUCUAAUUAGGACUUAGAUUAUUUAUUUGUUAUGGACAAACACUUUUAGACCCGGGUGGCGUUUAAGGACUUGAAUGACCGGGAAACAGAGUUUGCUCUUCAAGAGUAAAUUCAUAAAAGACUUUUCGGCCUAUAACACCCAUUCCCCAUGAGUUUACGGCCGUAAACUUGUGGUGGGGUGGUUUAUGGUCCAAAAUGGCUUGAAACAAAUAAGAGGGAAUUUCUAGGGUUUGAUUUAAGGCUUGGAAUUAAUUAAAUUCAUCAAAUAACACCACUUAAUGGAGUUUACGGCCCUAGCAUGGAGCUUACGGCCGUAAACUCCUAUACCCCCCUUGAAUGAGUGAUUUAAUGUCCCAAAACUAAUCACAUGUGAUUCCAAUAAUUUUUCCUAGCCUUGUAUGGAUUUUUAAGGGACUUUUGGCCUAGAUUUUGGAGUUUACGGCCCUUGAACACCCUCAUGGCCAUGAACUCCUUAGAUGGGGAAAAUAAUAUGUUUUAAGGUCCAAUACUUGUGUGUAAACACGUCUAGAAUUUAUCCAAACGCUUUAGGUGUGUUAAAGUGGCAUUUUAACACUUUACAUUUAGUUUACUCCCCAUGUUAUGGAGUUCACGGCCCAAGCAUAAGCCUUGUCCGUAAACUCUCAUUUGUCCCUCAAACUAUAUGUUUAAGGCCCCUAAACUAUUUUUAGUUGGUUCUAUGAUUUAUUCCAAGGCUUUUGGUAAAGGUAUAUGGCUUUCUAACAUGUUGGAAAUGAGUUUACACUCAUGUUUGAGGGGUUUACGGCCCAAGCAUGUGCCUUGGCUGUAAACUCAUUCAAAUCCCUCAAAAUCCAUGUCUAAAGUGUUCUAAGUCCAUUCCAUGAAGUCAUUUAGCCAUAUCUAAAGUCUAGUUGUGGUUUGGAUGGGUUUUGUUGCUCAAAAACCCCCCUUUAAAUGAGUUUAUGGCCUAGGAUAGUUCUAGGGCCGUAAACCCAUGAUAAUGGUCCUAAUCCAUGGUUUAAACUCGAAUUUGAAGGCUAGAGGGGUUGUAUAGCAAGUUAGGGAAGUUACCUCAAAGAUUUGAAGCCUUAAAUUGAUGAUUUGGACCCUUAAACUUGGAUUUAGGAGAGAGGUUAGAAAGAGAGUAGUGAGAGAGAGAAAAAGCUUCAAAUGAUAGCUUUAACAUGUUUAAAUAGCUCCUAAAACUUGGACACUGAGGAAUUCUACCCGAUACCGUCACUAAACGGGGCUUUUGGUCGCACCCGAUUAAGUUUCCGUAACUCGGCGGGAACGUUUCUAAAAUUUUUGAAAUAACUUAUUUGGGCUAAUUUCAUAAGUUCCUAAGGGGUUUGGACACUCAUUAUCAUCAAAUAAACAUAUAAGUUUAAUUAAUUUAACCCAAAAACGAAAUUGGAACGAAUUGAUAUUCGGCGAGUUUUACGGGUAGAACGGGGUUUUCGGCAAUGAACAACUUCGGGUUGUGACAUUAUCCCCCCGUUAGAGGGAAUUUUGUCCCGAAAGUCAAAGAAUAAGAUAUAGAUCAUGAAUUGGAAUGAGACACGAAUGGAUUUGUUGCCUCGGAUCUUCACGUUCUCAUGUGGGAUCAGGUCUCUGCUGGGCGUUCUAGCGAAUUCUCACUAUCGGGACGUGUCUUUGUUUCGUACAUUGACUCUCUCAAUCCAUAAUCUCAAUUGGUUAUCCCAUGGAGGUUCCGAACCUUGAUGACUUCAGUCUUCUCAAAGGAAUCACUAGGGUUUCGUUGGGUAGAUACUUCUAAGGUUUCGAGACGUGCAGUACCGGAUGGAUGUUACUAAGUUCUGAGGGUAGCUGAAGUUUGAAGGUUAUGAAAUCGAUUCUAUGAGGAUCACGAAGGGUCUAAUGUAUCAUGAGGGAAGUAUUUCACACUUCUCAAAGCAAAUCAUGCUUUUCUGGGAUAAAGCCAUCAACAGAACACACACUCCAACAGGAAAGCACAUCUUCAAGGAGCCGGGUAGCUAAGGGUUUGAUGGCUUUAGAAGAAAUUUAUGGGCAAGACUACGAUAUUAGUCGAUGGGACCCAAGAAUCGACAGGUUUCUAUGGGUAUUUCCGGUGCCGACUAAUUCCCUAUCACGUUAGAUGUUGGAAAAGUACACGGUUACGACUAAUUUGCUUGGCUACAUGAUCGAGGGAAAGAGAUUUGACCGAAAGGAUACCACUACUAAUCCGUAGUGAUCAUAUCCGUUCUUGGUCACCGUUUUGAACACGUCAUUCUCACUGAGGUUCAGUCACGAGGUAGAUCCGGAGAUUAGGCUGAUGCAGAACUACGCUAAACGUUCGAAAGGAAUUCUCGGGAAUUCUUCGGGAAUGACAUUUAGGGGAAAGAGCUACUGACUUCCCGUUUCUUAACGGUCACAGAAACGAGGGAUACAUGGCAAUUCCUAUCAGGAAAACUUUUGAGAUUAAUGAAAUGAUACGAAGGUUUGAUGCCAAAGAUCACGAGAGUCAGGUCGGGGAAAAGAUCUAGACGAGCGACCCUUUCGAAACCAAGGAUAACAACAUGAAUGGGACUCGGUCAUUUCAUGUCAAACAUAGCAUCAAAGUAUUUCGAGAAAAGUUUCCCCCCAUUUAAAUCGAAUGGAACAGAAUAAUCCUACGGACUGAGGAUACAAUCUAUAGGUACGAAGUUAGUGUUCUCUAUCUCACUGGUUAGCCGUCUCGAUUAUACUCGAUUUCGAUUACAAAUGAAGGAUUAAGUUUAGAAAUUUCUCAGAUGGAUAGAUAACAAGUUUCCCUUCUGGUACUAGAAUCGAAAAGAGUUGCAGGUAUAAGAAUUGUCAAAGAGGAGUAUGCCGGCGGCGACAGUGGGAUCAGCGGUUGUAGCUGCUUUGGGGCAAUUUCUUUUGAAGUGCCCUACUUCGCCACAACUGUAGCAGGAUGGACUGAUUCCCGUCCCGGAUGAUUGGUUCGUUGAUUUAGUUGGUUUUCUGUAGGUUCGAACAAGAUGGCCCUUCUUGCCACAGUUGUCACAGAUCCUUUCGCGACAUGGACUAGGAAUGCGGUGAUGGUAGCUGCACUUACCACACCAAGGAAGGGUACCAGUGUAUCCACUGGUAGGAGUUUGGGCCAUGGAACCGACAGUCGAAACAGCAAUAGGGGUAGUAGCAGCAUGGACUGCUACUAUUUGCUGUUUCUUAGAAGACCCUUGCGUACUCUGGGCCUUCCUCUUGUUCCAGAAUUUCUUUUUGCUUCCACCUCCACUUGUGACCUGUUCGGGAGUCCUAGCCUCCUCAUCAGAGUUGUCUUCGUGAUCGAUCAGGGUUGGCGCAAGACAUUUAGCACUAUCAUAGGUUUUUGGCUUCGCAGCCAAGACAUUCCCUUUGGUUGGCUGGGUCAACCCCCAGAUGAACCUCUUAAUCUUUUUACUCUCCGGGGUAACCAUUCCCGGACAGAGUUCGUGUUCUAGCUUCUGAAUUUCGCCCCGAGGGCAAUACUCUGCGAGUAGAAGCUCCUUCAUAGCUUCCCAACCCAUAGCAUUUGCUACAGGUAGAGUUAAGGAUUUGACUCGGCCGUUCCACCAAGUCAGGGCUUUGUCAAGGAAGGUGCAGGCGGCGAACUUUACUUUGUCAGACUCCGAACAGGCGCAUAUUUCAAAGAUUGAUUCGAUUUUCUUGAACCAUCGGGUGAGGGAAAUGACACCUCUAGUGCCAUCAAAGGAUGUGGGUUUCGCGUUCAUGAAGUCUUUAUAGGAACCCUCUUUUCGGUGUCCCUGACUGUUCUCUUGGUUUUGGGUUUGAGUACCACCGGAACCAUCCGAGUUCCUUUGAGACAUAGCAGCUGCCACCGCGGCAUUGACAGCUGCCUGGAACAUCACAGGGUCAAAUUCAGGAGGAGGUGGUGGCGGAGGGUUGUUGGUGUUCUUCGAGCUGGGUCUCUUUCUUGGAGGCAUCGUGAUCUAAAAAGAUCAGGAAAGAGAGGAUCAUAAGUCCUCUGAAUUGAAUCAAGAGAUAUGGAACAGGGGAUAUCUCAUCAAGACAGAUAUAACACCGUAUUAAGCGAUAAAGUAGGAAAGAGUUAUCAAGACAGAACAUUUUAUUGCUAGAGGAAUGAUCAAGGAACAACGCGUAUACGAGGACUUUCUACAAAGGAUUUACUCGAGAAAUACUCCCAUAGUAUUUCAUGAUUCACUGCAACGACGACUCGUUGUUUGGGGUAUUGGGUAAGUUUUAGGUAUGCUGCGUACCACAGUCACUCCCAAGCACAUGUUGGCCGUGUCUCGAAUGAAUAUAGUUGGCCAGGCUAUAUUGACCCUAGACACGACUACAUAACUGCCCAGGUUUAACCGCAGCGUACAACACCCAUUUACUUAUGUUCUGUUCUACUUGUAGUUACGGAUCUCGACGGCUCGGUAUACUUGUAUACUUUUGAAAAUACUUAUAUUUUGAAGGAUACUUUUAGUUCAGAGCACUUAGGCCCCUUAAUGUUUAUAGUUUUAUACCAUGUAAGGUUUGGUAUACUCCGUUCACUAUAAACAAGGGCUCUGAUACCAAUCGGUCACACCCCAAAAACCAAAGGCGGAAACAUUUCCGGGGUUGACUCCACGUUGAGUAUCAAAUCCAAUGCACAUAGUAAUCAAAGUAAACAACCAUUACAUUACAUAUAUUUGAAAGUUUACAUUUGUUUCAAAAGUAAAUUGUACAAGUGUUAUACAUAUAUCAUAUGAACAAAAGUAGAGACGAGUCUUCUGUGCACUCCGUCUUCACCAAAAGAUAGCACCGGGUACCUGUCUAACGUGGACCUGAGAAUACAAGCGGUUUGAAAAUCAGCAUAAAGCUGGUGAGUUCAUAAGAUGUUUGUUUUUCUGAAAAUGUACCAGUUUUCCUUAGUUUUUCCGAAAAGGUUUGUUAUCCAAUAAAAUCCCAUAUUUUCUUAUGUAAAACAGUUUAGUUAUUCUUCAUUACAGUUCAAUUACGCAUUAUACGUUACCCCAGGAAAAUCCCAUAUUUUCCUAAAUGGAAGACCAAUUGAAUAUCACAGAGUAUAGUUCAAUACACAAAACUAUAUAUUGAGAAUCAUGGGAUUACUAUCCCAAAUUAGAUAGAAAAUAUUUUAAUAUACGUGAACUGUAGAUGGAAAGUAGUUUGAAAACCUUGGGACUAACAUCCCGUACUACAUAUAGAUUUAAUACCAAGGGACUAUCAUCCCGGACAAGAUACAAGAUAGUUUGAUAUACAUGAAAAUAUAGACUGAAUACCAUGGGACUACCAUCCCGGUGUAGAUAUAAGAUAGUUUGAUAAAAUCAUGGUUUUACUAUCCCGAACUAGAUAUAGAUUCUAACCAUAGGAAUAACAUCCUGCAAUAGAUAUGAAUCCUAUAGACUAAAAACCAUGGGAUUUCCAUCCCGUACUAGAUAUAAGAUCUAAAGAUAGAAGAUUGAUAUAAAAUCAAAUCCAAAACCAAGUCGUGAAUAAAAUUAUUAAUACGUAUUGUGAGUCGGGUAACCAUGCUGAUACGACAACCAGACCUCCUUGACAUUUGUCAGACGUCGAACAAUAUCCAAAAUUUGCCACCCCAGUCGUGCCCGCCUAACUUUAGCUAGUAGUUAAGGUGUGGGAUUGUCAGUCCCGAAUAGAUCUAUUCACAAAUUCCUCACUCUCCCUCCAGGAGACUCUGGUUACACUUCCGGGGAGGAUUUGCUGAUCAUCCAUAAAGGGUAGUGACGAACUCACAAGCUAGUACUAAACCAUUCACAGGGUUCUCAUACGAUAUCAAACAUAUAAAAGAUUAUGAAACAUAAUACAUUGAAUACAGAU